rnacentral:rRNA from 1 species
GGAUCCAGACUUUGAUCAUGGCUCAGGACGAACGCUGGCGGCCGUGCCUAACACAUGCAAGUCGAACGAAGCUCUGCGAUACAAGAACUUCGGUCAAAGUUGAACGGAUGACUUAGUGGCGGACGGGUGAGUAACGCGUGAGGAACCUGCCUUUCAGUGGGGGACAACAGUUGGAAACGACUGCUAAUACCGCAUAAUGUAUUCUGACCGCAUGAUCGGAAUACCAAAGAUUUAUUGCUGAAAGAUGGCCUCGCGUCUGAUUAGAUAGUUGGUGAGGUAACGGCCCACCAAGUCAACGAUCAGUAGCCGGACUGAGAGGUUGAACGGCCACAUUGGGACUGAGAUACGGCCCAGACUCCUACGGGAGGCAGCAGUGGGGAAUAUUGGGCAAUGGGGGAAACCCUGACCCAGCAACGCCGCGUGAAGGAAGAAGGCUUUCGGGUUGUAAACUUCUUUUACCAGGGACGAAGGACGUGACGGUACCUGGAGAAAAAGCCACGGCUAACUACGUGCCAGCAGCCGCGGUAAUACGUAGGUGGCAAGCGUUGUCCGGAUUUACUGGGUGUAAAGGGCGUGUAGGCGGAGAAGCAAGUCAGAAGUGAAAUCCAUGGGCUUAACCCAUGAACUGCUUUUGAAACUGUUUCCCUUGAGUAUCGGAGAGGCAGGCGGAAUUCCUAGUGUAGCGGUGAAAUGCGUAGAUAUUAGGAGGAACACCAGUGGCGAAGGCGGCCUGCUGGACGACAACUGACGCUGAGGCGCGAAAGCGUGGGGAGCAAACAGGAUUAGAUACCCUGGUAGUCCACGCUGUAAACGAUGAAUACUAGGUGUGGGAGGACUGACCCCUUCCGUGCCG